GCCCUGGGCCAAAGGCAGGCGCCAAACCGCUGCGCCACCCAGGGAUCCCAGGAAGUUUGAAUAAGUGUCAGAAAAGGUCUCUCACACUGUGCAAAAGGAAUUCACUUUGCUAUUUUCAUUGUGAAGAAGGGGCAGAAAACUGAGAACCCUGGGUGCCUGUUUGGGGCCUGGCGCUAGUUCGGCGCUUUGCAUUUGAUAAUUUGAUACCAUCUCUUAAGAGCCUUCUGAGGAAAGUAGUAGAGCCUGUUCUAUAGGUCUUCAGGUCUCCCUGUUCCCUGAGACACAACGAUAUUGAAAUUAGGCCAAGCAGUUAAUAACCCUACAAUGGCCUUCUAAGUGCUCAAGUGAAAGGAAGAGUUGCAUGUCUCUCACUUUCAAUCGAAAGCUAGAAAUGACGAAGCCUAGUGAGGAAGGCACGUGGAAAGCUGAGACGGGUCAAAGGUAGGCCUCUUGCGCCAAACAGUUAUCCCAGUUGUGAGUUGCAAAAGAUAAGUCCUUGGGGAAAUGAAAAGGGCCACUCCAGUGAACACACCAAUGACAAGAAGGCAAAAGAGCCUCACUGCUGAUGUGGAGAAAGUUUUCGUGGCCUGGAGAGAAGAUCAUUCCCUUAAGCCAAAGCCUAAUCCAGAGCAAGGCCCUGACUCUCUUUAAUUCUGGGAAGGCUGAGGGAGGAGGAGCAGCUGCAGGAGCAAAGUCGGAGGCUGGCAGAGGUUGGUCCGAGAGGUUUAAGGAAAGAAGCCAGUCGUCUCCAUAACAUACAGGUGUAAGGUGAAGCAGCAGGUGCUGAUGGAGAAGCUGCAGCAAGGUGUCCAGAUCUAGUAAGAGAACUAGUGACCGUGGCUACACUAAACAACAGAUCUCCCCUGUAGACGAAGCAGCCUUAUGUUGGAGGAAGAGGUCAUCUAGGGCUUCCACAGCUAGAGAGAGGUCAGUGCCCGGCUUCAGGGCUUCAAAGGACAGGCCGCCUCUCUUGCUUGAUGCAGCUGGUGACUUUAAAUUGAAGCCAGUGCUCAUCGAGCAUUCUGGAAAUCUGGGGGCCCUUCAGAAUUAUGGGAAACCUACUCGGCCUGUGCUCUAUAAGGCUGAUAGCACAUCUGUGCCCAGCACGGUUUACUGAAUAUCUUAAGCCCACCGUUGAGACCUACUGCUCACAAGAAAAGACUCCUUUCAAAUGACGGCUCACUGACAAUGUUCCGGGGCACCCAGGAGCUGUGACGGAGAGACCACGAAAUUCAUGUUGUUCUCCUGCCUGCUGACCCAACAUCUGUCCUGCAGCCCACGGGUUAAGGAGUAAUUUUGACUUUCGAGUCUCAUUAUUUAAGAAAUACAUGCGAUGAGGCCAUGGCUGUCACAGUGGUUCCUCUGAUGGGUCUGGGCAAAGUAAGCUGAAAACCUGGAAAGGAUCCACCCUCCGAGAUACCAGUAAAGACAUGUGUGAUUAAUGAGAAGAGGUCAGAACGUCAACAUCAAGAAGAGUUUGGAAGAAGUCGAUGCUGGCCCUCAUGGGUGACGUGGGGAAGUCACUGCCGACGGGCUGGAAACGGCAGGGGAACCGGGGUUCCAAGCGGAGCCUGAAGAUGGGGCCGAGUCGCUGCAAUCUCUGGAGGAAACUUGAAUAGAUAAGGACUUGCUGCCUUUUUUUUUUUUAAGAUUUUAUUUAUUUCUUUAAGAAAGAGUGCACAAGAGAGCACAAAGCAGGGGGGAGGGAGAAGCAGACCCCUUGCUGAGCAGAGAUUUCCUCCCCCACAAUGCAGGGCUUGAUCCCAAGACCCCAGGAUCAUAACCUGAGCUGAAGGCAGCCCCUUUCCCGACUGAGCCACCCAGGCACCCCUCGAGGAGUUGCCUCUUAUGGAUGAACAAAGGAAGUGUUUUUCCUGAGAUGGAAUCUAGUCCUGGUGAUGAUGCUGUGAAGAUUGUUGAAGAGACAACAAAAGAUUUGGAAGAUACACACACUUAGUUGAAAAAGCAGCAGGAAGUUCUACUGUGGGUGAAAUGCUAUCAACCAGCAUCACAUGCUAUAGAGAAAUCAUCCAUGAAGGGAAGGGUCUACUGAUACACCAAACUAACGUCAUUGUCGUCUUAGUUUAGGAAGCCACCACAGACGCCCUGGCUUUCAGCCGCCGCCACCCUGAUCCAUCAGCAGUUGUGACACAGAGGCAGGAACCUCCUCCAGCGAUAGGACUACAGCUCACUGAGAGCUCAGAUGAUAGCAUUUUUUUUUAGCAAUAAAACAUUUUAAAGUAUGUAUAUUUUUCAUCAUACUAUUUCACACCUGACAACCAUGUAAUGUAAAUGUAACUUACGUAUGUGCCGAGAAACCAGUAAGUUCAGUUAACCCACUUUACUGCAAUAUUUACUUUAUUGUGGUGUUCUGGGACCGAACCCCCAAUAUCUCUGACAUCUGUAUGCAUUUCUUUCUGAGACAAAUGAGACAGCCUCCCCACAUUAGACUCUUGCCCUCCUACAGUUGGAUUUCCAGAAAGGGAGAGACAUCAUUUAAGAACGGAACUUGGCCUACUGCCCUCCCCUACUUUAAGUCUUUCAAUUGCCUCCCAUUUGCUUAAAAUAAAAUCCAAACUCCCUGCCAUGCUUGCAAGGCCCUCCAUUACCUCCCCUACCCCUAGUACGCUCUAUUCUGCUUUCUCUGUAAAUUUGCGUUUUCUAAAAAAAAAAAAAAAAAAAAAAUUGCGUUUUCUAUACAUCCCAAG